CAUACCUAUUCGAAGGGAUAGGGUCGGUUUGGCCGGAUUUCACACAGGUGUUGCAUGGCUGUCGCCAGCUCGUGUCGUGAGAUGUUGGGUUAAGUCCCGCAACGAGCGCAACCCUCAUCCUUAGUUGCCAUCAGGUAAUGCUGAGUACUUUAAGGAAACUGCCAGUGAUAAGCUGGAGGAAGGUGGGGUUGAUGUCAAGUCAUCAUGGCCUUUAUGGAGUGGGCUACACACGUGCUACAAUGGUGUCUACAAUGGGUUGCAAGGUGCGCAAGCCUAAGCUAAUCCCUAAAAGACAUCUCAGUUCGGAUUGUACUCUGCAACUCGAGUACAUGAAGUUGGAAUCGCUAGUAAUCGUGGAUCAGCAUGCCACGGUGAAUACGUUCUCGGGUCUUGUACACACUGCCCGUCACGCCAUGGGAAUUGGUUUCACUCGAAGCU
rnacentral:rRNA from 1 species